rnacentral:rRNA from 1 species
GCUGUGGUGAUGCGCUUCGCCCUUGCCUGAUUGGCCUUCGGGUGGAGCGCGCUUCAUAGCGCAGCGCUAGCCCUGCGCAAUAUGCGGCUUAGGCUAGGAGCAGAAGAUGGCAGCUCGCCGCCGGUGCUGCGGMCUCCUCUGAGGCUACGGGCUGGCACUUUCGGCCUGAAGCCCUGGAAGAGGGCCUGCGCCACUCUGGCGGAACACAACUGGGCUGCCCAGCGCCACAACAUGAUCCCCUCUUCACGUGCGCGAGGCCUCCGGCCUAUGUGCUUGCCNGGCGRGGCUAGCGCAACUUGCUUGCUGCGGCUUUGCGGC